AAUACGGUUUCAAGAAAAAACCGUUUUAAAAUUGUGAAAUUUUGAAUUUGAAUUCCUCGAUAUCCUCGCUUCAGUGACUUCUUUUUUCUAAUGCUUCCUUCCUCUUCCCAAUGCAAUGCUUCUUUCCUCUUUUCGAAAGAACAAAACCGUAACACUCUCUUGCUCACAGACACAAUCUCUUCUUCUUCCUAUUCCUUCCUUGUCAUGUAGUCGCGAGUGCUGCUGGAGGAAGUAGAAAAGCGUGCAGGGGACGAGGGUCCCGAGGAGAAGCCCUCUGUGUCCCUGCACCACGCCUUGGAGGGGGACAAUGAGUUUCAUGCCGCUGCUAGAGAAUGAAGAAGAAGGGCUUUGUUGGGCUUCGCGGGCUUGCGGGUCUGGGUCAUUGACCCGAGAGGGAGGGUGAGCGAGUGAGUGAGGGUGGAGUGUGGAGGUGGGUUUGGUUUGUGUGGUGGUGGGAGAACCCAAGCCUCACUGCUACUGCUAAUAAUUGUAGUGUGGAGGUGGAAGCAUGUUCUUGCAAAGGGAGAGGAAGCGAGCCUCAAUGGUUUCCUCAAAGAGUAGAGGAUUUUGUUGAAGAAAAUCUUGAGCGGAGAGUUACAUGCACGUCGUUGAUGGUGGCUGCCAUUUGCCACUCGUGGCUCUUGGGUUAUAGGCAAAAGGAGAACGAGGGUGGAAGCGAGCGUGCAGUGGUGGGGCCUGUGAUGAAUGUGAUGCGAAGCUCCAUGUGGAAGUUGAAGCAGGCUGCGUGAAUGCAUUGCUUUUCACUAAUGAGGUACUAGAUUCCGACCAUUGUCAUUCAACGUACCCAAGCCACUUUUUCCAUUAGCACGACAACCCAUGGUUCAUCAUCCAAUUUAUGCUUGUAAAAGGGUAUACACAAUUAGUUUACAUGUGAUUAUUUUUUAAAUAAUAAUGAUAAAUGAUCUUAUGUUUUGUAUGACAGUCACAUAUCUUCUUGCUGAACUGUGAUGUAUGCUACAGUUCUCCACCGCUAGAAAUGUUGGGUAAUUUUUUUUUUUUUCUGAAAUAGAUUGUAUUUACUUCUACUUGCAAGUUGCAAUUGUUUGAUGAGUUUCUAUGCAGAAUAGUAACCUUGAGCUUCCUUGAAAUUUCUUAAUUAACUUUUAUGUGACUAUGCAACAACUAAUGAACUAUUGCAUUACACAGAAACUCGAAACUUUUUUAA